GCGCCAAUAGUUCAACGGUAGGACGUAGCCUUCCCAAGGCUGAGAUCGGGGUUCAAUUCCCCGUUGGCGCA
rnacentral:tRNA from 1 species